GACUCUAGCUGGAGACGGUAAAGCAAGAUGUCAGAGGGAGCGAACAGAGUGCUAAUCAAGUCAGUGAUAUAACAGCAUCAUCAGUUGUGUCCUGCAGUCAAGAGAAGGGAGGUCUUCCAGAAAAGAAUCCCCCCAGUCCCGUUCACUCUGAGAGGGAUGCACUGCUAAUCGGGAUCAUUUCAACCUUCCUGCACGUGCACCCGUUUGGAGCCAGCAUCGAGUACAUCUGUUCCUACCUGCAGCGUUUGGACACCAAGAUUAACCCCAGCGAGGUGGAGGCUCUUCUUUCUCGGCUGCCGUGCACCUUCAGACAGGAGCUGUCUGGUGUCGGAGCCAGUUUAGAGAAACGCUGGAACUUCUGCGGCUUCCAGGGCAUUAAGAGCACAUAGACUCUGCUGGUGACACUUCUGGGACAUGGAAGAGAUGACAGGCAUACAAGGCAACACAGGUACAUGGAAGACACUGUGGAAAUGUGGAGGGAGCCCAUAACUAAUGGAGCCGCAGGGCUCCACCUUCCCAGACAAGAGCACAAAUUAUUCACUGCAGAACUCAGAUCAGCAAGGGGUGUUCUGUGUAGGUGGCAGAGAGAUAAAUAUAAAGGUUUUUCUGAUGGCAAAUUAAUUAAAUUAAUUGGCAGCAUCUCUAUGGUGACCAAGCGUUGGAUGUAUCUCUAUGGUGACAGUCUCACUCUCUCCUCUUUUUUUCUCAUGGGAUUCAACGAAAAGUCCCUUCAGAGAGCCAAUCUCAGCAGAGUCAUGGGAUUUGGUGUAUUUUUUAUACUUGAGCUUACAGUUGGCCCAGCGUACUGGCAGACCUGGACUUAAGAACGACACAGGAGGGUCAUCAGGGUCAACUUUCAACCUCGAAACUCUCUGGCGUCCUUUAUUGCCUCUACUCGAUUUUGUACAAUCGUGUAAAACAGCUAAACCUAAACAGCUGCAAAUGUUAAAAUAAAGAUGACAGACAUGU